UACGUAGGUCCCGAGCGUUGUCCGGAUUUAUUGGGCGUAAAGGGUGCGUAGGCGGACUGUCAAGUCAGCGGUAAAAUUGAGAGGCUCAACCUCUUCCCGCCGUUGAAACUGGUGGUCUUGAGUGGAUGAGAAGUACGCGGAAUGCGUGGUGUAGCGGUGAAAUGCAUAGAUAUCACGCAGAACUCCGAUUGCGAAGGCAGCGUACCGGCAUCCAACUGACGCUGAGGCACGAAAGCGUGGGGAUCAAACAGG
rnacentral:rRNA from 1 species